GUCUGCAGCCACGCCACCCUGAACAAGCCCGAUCCCGUCUGAUCUCGGAAGCUAAGCAGGGUCGGGCCUGGUUAGUACUUGGAUGGGAGACCACCUAGGAAGACCAGGUGCUGCAGGCG
rnacentral:rRNA from 1 species